ACUUUGAAUAAACCAUUUCUCUGCAAUUAAGUUCCUUAUCAACAAAAUGAGCAAAGUGGCCUACAUGCCUAGAUAGCAACAUUUCAUGUCACGUGGAAGAUCUAGCAUCACAAGACUCCAAGUCAUCCUUUGUUGUCUUUAAGAUUUCAGCAUGGUGAAGGAAAAGUAGCAGAAGACUGAAUGUAUACUCAGUUUUCAAGCUCUGGAUUUAAUCUUUCCAUAGCUGGAAUUGCCUCUUCCUCAAAAGCCUUAUUUGUUCAUUUAAUUGGGGCAACAUGAAGUCAUGAUGUAUCAUUGACAGAGAACAGGGGGCUUAGGUUCUCAUCUUGGUCCUAUCGAUUACUCUAUGCAUAACCUCAACUUCUUUAUCUGUACAUUGGGAACAAUAAUUCUUACUCCACUUGUGUUGAAACUGAAUUAUAUAAUUCAUAAAUUGAAACACCAAAUUCUGAUAAA
rnacentral:lncRNA from 1 species